GAGUGGACGCAUCACUGGUGUUCGGGUUGUCAUGCCAAUGGCACUGCCCGGUAGCUAAAUGCGGAAGAGAUAAGUGCUGAAAGCAUCUAAGCACGAAACUUGCCCCGAGAUGAGUUCUCCCUGAGACUUUAAGUCUCCUGAAGGAACGUUGAAGACGACGACGUUGAUAGGUCGGGUGUGUAAGCGCAGCGAUGCGUUGAGCUAACCGAUACUAAUGAACCGUGAGGCUUAACCUU
rnacentral:rRNA from 4 species